rnacentral:rRNA from 1 species
GAUGAACGCUGGCGGCGUGCCUAAUACAUGCAAGUCGAGCGAACAGACGAGGAGCUUGCUCCUUUGACGUUAGCGGCGGACGGGUGAGUAACACGUGGAUAACCUACCUAUAAGACUGGGAUAACUUCGGGAAACCGGAGCUAAUACCGGAUAACAUGUUGAACCGCAUGGUUCAACAGUGAAAGACGGUCUUGCUGUCACUUAUAGAUGGAUCCGCGCCGCAUUAGCUAGUUGGUAAGGUAACGGCUUACCAAGGCAACGAUGCGUAGCCGACCUGAGAGGGUGAUCGGCCACACUGGAACUGAGACACGGUCCAGACUCCUACGGGAGGCAGCAGUAGGGAAUCUUCCGCAAUGGGCGAAAGCCUGACGGAGCAACGCCGCGUGAGUGAAGAAGGUCUUCGGAUCGUAAAACUCUGUUAUCAGGGAAGAACAAAUGUGUAAGUAACUAUGCACGUCUUGGCGGUACCUAAUCAGAAAGCCACGGCUAACUACGUG